UCUCCAGACAACUGAUGUCUC
rnacentral:piRNA from 1 species